rnacentral:misc_RNA from 1 species
GAGGCGGAGCUCGCCGUCCCAGGAUCCGGAGAGCGCGAACUGGCCGUCGGAACUGAGGACGACGUCCUGGACGAAGUGGGAGUGGCCGGUGAGUCGGCGGCGGGGGACGCCGUAUGAGGAGGCGUUAGGGUCGACGGCGGCCUCCUUGGUCAGGUGCCAGACGAGGAUGGACUUAUCGCGGGAGGAAGAAACAACCAUGUCCGAGUUGUCGAUGGGGGCGGCGAUGGCGGUGACCCAGUCGCUGUGGCCGUACAUCGUCCCACGGAUAACCAGGGGUUCCGACAUAGUCGAUGAACGGAAUCGGAUCCGGCGGCGGAUCUAGGGUUUGCUAAGAGGC